UACGAGGGGGGCAAAUGUUGUUCGGAUUUACUGGGCGUAAAGGGCGCGUAGGCGGUCAGCACAAGUCAGUUGUGAAAUCUCCGGGCUUAACUCGGAAAGGUCAACUGAUACUGUGCGACUAGAGUGCAGAAGGGGCAACUGGAAUUCUCGGUGUAGCGGUGAAAUGCGUAGAUAUCGAGAGGAACACCUGCGGCGAAGGCGGGUUGCUGGGCUGACACUGACGCUGAUGCGCGAAAGCCAGGGGAGCGAACGGG
rnacentral:rRNA from 1 species